GCGGUCGCCAUGCACAGAAGAUCCUCAGUCAUAGUUAACAAAAUGGUAAAAUUAGCUGUGUUUUAAGAUUCCAGUCGUGGCCAUCAGCUGCUCAGGAAAGCAGCCCAGAAUCACUUCACUACAGGUUUUCAAAGGAUCAUCAUUCAUCAGUACAGAAGGGUGGGGAAGAGAAGGCUGUUCAAAUUCUGAAAAGCCAGAGCUGCAAAGGAGGUCAAGAUGCAGUGCAGUUGGCCCACUCAGUAGAGUUUCACUAGUGGUUCUGAUGUGGACUGGGGAUUACACGCUGGAUUGAAGUGGUGGUCUGGAGCAGCUGUAAUUCAUCAUUCGUGCUGAUCGUGGACGAGUAAGAGCCCGCGUUGGCCCCGAUCGGCGAUCGCUGGCCAAAGCCCACCACCAGGUUGGUGAUAGGCGUUGGCUGUGAUAUCUUGGUGUCGCCUAUGUGUGAAAAGGACAAGUUGAUAACAAAACCUGUUGCGCCAUGUUAUUAACCCGCGCCCGGGUGGCCCUCAGCCAACUUGGUGGGGCGGGGGGGGG